UACAGAGGUGGCAAGCGUUGCUCGGAAUCACUGGGCUUAAAGGGCAUGUAGGCGGCCGUGCAAGCAUCUUGUGAAAUCCCCCGGCUCAACCGGGGAAUCGCUCGAUGGGCUGCACGGCUCGAGGCAGGCAGGGGUGGCCGGAACUUUGGGUGGAGCGGUGAAAUGCGUAGAUAUCCAAGGGAACGCCGGAGGUGAAAACGGGCCACUGGGCCUUGCCUGACGCUGAGGUGCGAAAGCCA
rnacentral:rRNA from 1 species